GCGCGCUUUCCCGGCUGCGCGCCCGCCCGGUCACGCGCCCUGCUCACCGCGCGCUCGCGUGGGGGCGUCCCCUCUGGCCCCGCGCACGCGCGCUACGUCCCUCAGACUGGCUGCCCCCGAGGGUUCGCCCCCAAAUCCUGUCAGUCCACGGCCUUGAUGGAGCGGCCCCCGUGGGACGACCCUGUUGAUUGUGCUAGCGGAUGUUGUCUCCAUUCUGGAUCUGGGAAAAACUGUGGAGUGAAAGCCGGACCUGUUAGGGUUGGGACCUGAAAGCGGACUUUUUCGCUCUCAGACGGGCCCCAGGUACAGUGAGAGGGGAGUUUGUGUGGUGGUUGUGAGCUUGAGCUUUGGAGAGAGAGAUCUGUGACCUUGGGCAGGUGACCUCUCCGAGCCUCGGUUUCCUCGCCGUAAAAUGAAGAUCCUAAUAGUCCCUACCAGAAGGUUGUGAAUGAGACAAUAGAUGGAAGCCCUUUGCGCGGCCCCUGCACCCGUAAACGCUCAAUCUUAGUUCUUACUCUUGUUGUUUUAAGUGUGCAGGCAAGAUAGACACAGAUACAUAAAAACUGUUUAAGACCACUUCUCUUUUUUUUCUUUCUUUCUUUUUUUUUUUUUUUUUUUUUUUUUGAGACGGAGUCUCGAUCUGUCGCCCAGGCUGGAGUGCAGUGGCGCGAACUAGGCUCACCGCAAGCUCCGCCUCCCGGCUUCACGCUAUUCUCCUGCCUCAGCCUCCCGAGUAGCUGGGACUACAGGCGCCCGCCACCACGCCCCGCUAAUUUUUUUGUAUUUUUAGUAGAGACGGGGUUUCACCGUGUUAGCCAGGAUGGUCUCGAUCUCCUGACCUCGUGAUCCGCCCGCCUCGGCCUCCCAAAGUACUGGCGUGAGCCACCGCGCCGGGCCCCCACUUCUCAACUGAUGACUGCGACACUCCCUUGAGGACGGGAGCUCUUUCAGGCCAGUGGUUUGUUGUUCAUCAAGAUAUCCAAGUACCCGGCAACAUUCCUGGCAUAUAAUAGGAAGGCAGAUCUGGUGAAUGAAUGAAUGAAUGGCGGUAUCUGGAGCAGAGACAAUGAAUUUCAUGUUUAACAGAGGUGUCUUCAAGGAGAUGAAACAAUUCAGAAUGACCUAGGCAAUGGGGUAAUUCCUAAGUAUUGUAGGUCAAGAUAUUGGUUACCUAUGAGGGGGUGAUGCCUGGAGGAAGACCUAAGGGGAGGUCUUCUGGAUACUGAGUGCAUGGGCGGACUGAGACCAUGACAGAACAUGGAGUCUGCCAUUCAGAAUUCCAUUUUCACUCCACUUGCCCUUUGGCCAGCCACCUUACACAGUGCUCAAACCGAACAACUACACAUGGCAGCACUGGAGCCUCACUGUUUUGAAUGAUAUGUCUUUAAUUAUGAGAACAAGCUAUUCAUUCAUACAGCAUGGACGAAUAUUAAAUGCAUGUUGCUGAGUGAAAGAAGCCAGAAUGAUAAGGCUACAUCCUGGAAAAGUUUAUAUUCUGGAAAAGGCAAAACUUAUAGAGACAGAAACAAAUCAGCCAGUUGUUGCUGGGGUUUGGGAGAGAAGAAUGUUGACUAUGUGAAGAACAAGGGAUCUUGGGGGGCAUCUAUUCCAUAUGCUACUGUAGGGGUGGAUGCAUGAUACUAUCAUUUGUGGAAAACCAUAGAACUUUACAAAACUAACAGUGAACCUUAAUGUCUGCAAAAUUUUACAAAAUCAACUAGGAGGCUGGGGGAUCCCAGGAUGAAAUACAGGCAAUGACAAAAGAGCCUAACUCUAUUACACAUUUAUAACAUAACCGCACCGAAGAGGACUGGUAUUCUAUAACUGUGGAAAUAAUGGAAACUGGAAAACUGAAGACAAAAGGAACUGUACUUAGCACUAUACUCUAGUUGGUAAAGGCGUUUCUCAAGGGGUACCAGUUAACAAUUCUGAGACUGCUGUACAUGUAUGCAGAGACUGAACAAAUAAGUAAAUGGCUGGUACAUGCUCACUCUCAGGGAGGGAGGCCACAGAUAAACAAGAGGAAGAGGCUCUAAUGUCAUGUGUGGUUGUGGAUUAGAACCAGAAACAUAAAUAUGAACUCAUGUUUAGAUUAAUAUAGAUAUUAAUGGAUUGAUAUAGAAAUAAUGAUGAUAUGGGUAUAUAUACAGGUUAGUAUACAGUCAUAUAUUUCUUAUCCCUAUCCACUGAGAGGGCCUAGAAACAACAAUACUCCAGUAGCAACACACACAUCUCGUGCCCAUAUCUUGAUUUCUUUUGCCAUUUCCUAACAAAAGGAGCCAGGACUUCUUGGAGAAAUGGCUGAUUCUAAGACUGGGUCAGAGAGUAUACCAGAUGACGCUGGCACAUCUUCUACUGCUAGAAAGUAAGGAAAUGCUCAAAAAAUAAAACCACGGAGAUAUUUCAAAGGAACACAGAAGCCAAGUGGAACAGCUCCCAGUGGCCAAAGCUGGAAAAAUUGGGGCAAAAAAAAAAAAAAAAGUAUUAGGUUAUAAUCCAAAAUAUAAAAUAAAUAAUCACCAGCCCGUACUAAUGUGCAUAAAUUAUUGAAUAAAUAAGUAAAUGGGUGAAAAGAGAAAACUCUCUCCCAUACAAAGGAAGCCCAAAUAAUUUAUGUAGAUGAUCGCCCUGCAAUGAGGCAGAGGGCAACUCCCUACCCUGUGUUAAGUGUGGAUGGCACUUAGAGACUUGCUUCUGAAGAGCGCAAUACGGAAAGGAGGGGAGAAGUAACUUGGCAAUGAAGAAACCUGACAAACACCAUCUUCUCCAGGCAGCCAAGGUUAACACCAUCAGUGAUAAGUUACGUUGAUAGCCUGUAUUUUUGAUAUGAUGUGUUGAGAAUGUACUUAGUUUCUGUGGUCUUCUUCCCAAACACCUGACACCAGGCUCACCAGGAGAAAAUGAAUCCAAAUUAAGGGACAUUCUACAGAAUACCUGACCAACACUCCCUCCUAAAAACUGUCAAGGUCAUCAAGGAAUGUCUAGGAAGAAGGAAAGUCUGAGAAGUUGUCUCAGCCCAGAGGAGCCUUAAGAAGCCAUGACAGGGUCUCCAUCUGCCUCCCAGGCUGGAGUACAGCGGUGCCAUCACAGCUCACUGCAUCCACGACCUCCUGAGCUCAAUAGAUCUUCCAGCCUCAGCCUACUGAGUAGGUGGGACUACAGAAGUGCAUCACCAUGCCCGGCUAAUUUUUGUAUUUUUGGUAGAGAUGGGGUUUCGCCAUGUUGCCCAGGCUGGUCUCGAACUCCUGGGCUCAAACAAUGUACCCACCUCGGCCUCCCAAAGUGCUAGAAUUACUAACACUUUUGUAAAGUAAAAAGUUUAAAACAAAAAAUAAGAUUGGUAGAUGGAUAGAGGGUUGGAUAGAUAGCUGCGUGAUAAAGCUGUGUGAUAAAAUAUAAGAAAAUAUUAUUGGUAAGAUCUAGGUGCUGGGCAUAAAAGUGUUUGCUGUAAAAUUUCUCUGACUUUACUGUAUGUUGGAAAAUAUGCACAAUAAAAUGUUGGCAAAAAGAAUAUUAGUAUAAUUCAGAGUUAUUAAUGUUGCUCAUGUUUUUCUUUUUGCACUGUCAUCUUUCUUUUUUCCUUAUUUAUUUAUGGGCAUGAUUAUAUAUAGAAAGUUUUAAAAAAAUUUUUCCUGUUGCAUUUCAUUUCUGACCAUUACUACCAUUCAUUUUUUCAUGAUUAUUACUGAAAAUUAUUUUGUCAUGUGGAAGAUUGUUUUAAAAUUAUACCCUCUGGGUAUCAAAUCAUUAGAUAUGCCACUGCCAAGUAUAACCGAAUGUGUACUACCAAGGGGAUCCCCCAGC
rnacentral:lncRNA from 10 species